rnacentral:misc_RNA from 1 species
AUCUUCGUUGAGGAGGGCAAGACGUCGAUCGUUCAAUCGAUAAAAAUUGUGUACGUGCGCCGAAUAUGUGUGUCGCGGGCGCGUGUGUGUGUAUCUGGCUCUCGCGGGCUUUCGUCCCGAUCUUAGCCGAGUUCCCAACCGUCACAAAAGUCCAUGAAAUUUUUCGUCUCUCUGUAUCAUUAAAAUAUUAUAUAACCGACAGUUUCGUGCCCGAUCCGAUCAGUCGUGUUCCAGCAACCACCAGCUUUUCAUAAUAUAACCAGUGCACAAACUGCUAUAUCAGUACACGUCCUCAAUAUAACUCGUUCCACAACGAGGUGAAGAACAAAAAAGGACGGACGAGAACACUCGGUCGUUGAUCAAUUCCAAGACGUUUCGCGUUCCAUCUGUACCCAUUACUUUUUUUUGAGAUCUCCGAUCUUUGUUUAUAUUGAUUCUUGACGAAAAUACAUAUUUUGUACACAAUGAAUUCGUUGAGGUCGAAAAUUGGCAAGAUUUCACGUAAAAUGAUAAUUAAUGCGAAUAGAGAGCUGCACGUUUCGACGGCCGGAUUGCAAGCUCACAACCCUAGACCUUUGACCCAAUUCACCGACGACGAGACCAUGAUGAAGGAAACUGUGGCGAAACUGGCAAAGGAACAAAUAGCACCACUGGUUAAAAAAAUGGAGAAAGAAGGAAAAAUCGACGAUACCGUACUGAAAAUGCUAUUCGACAAUGGGUUAAUGGGGACCGAAAUUCCCGCAGAUUAUGGCGGUACGGGCAGUAAUUUCAUGACGACAAUUUUGGUAGUCGAAGAAAUAGCGAAAGUCGAUGGUGCGGUCGCUGCCCUCGUCGACAUUCACAACACCCUCGUUAAUUCGUUCAUCAUAAAAAUAGGAAAUGAGGAACAGAAAGCGAAGUUUUUACCAAAACUUGCUGGAAAUUAUGCCGGAAGUUUUUGCCUAACCGAACCAGGCGCGGGCUCGGAUGCUUUUUCGUUGAAAACUGUAGCGAAAAAAGACGGCUCGGAUUAUGUGAUAAACGGGACUAAAAUGUGGAUUUCGAAUUCUGAUAUCGCUGGCGUAUUUUUAGUGUUCGCCAACGCAAAUCCAUCGGCGGGUUAUCGAGGGAUUUCAACAUUUUUCGUUGAAAGGGACACACCAGGACUGACCGUGGCCAAACCUGAAGACAAACUAGGAAUUAAGGCAUCUGGAACAUGCAUGGUUAAUUUUGAUAAUGUUAGGGUUCCAGAGUCUAAUCUACUCGGAGAAUUUGGUCACGGAUAUAAAUAUGCAGCUGGAUUUUUGAACGAAGGAAGAGUCGGCAUAGGCGCACAAAUGAUUGGAAUGGCCCAGGGUGCUCUUGACGCAACCAUUCCUUAUACUCUGGAGCGCAAACAAUUUGGAAAAGACAUUUUUUCUUUCCAGUCCAUGCAACAUCAAAUUGCUCAAGUUGUCACUGACCUCGAAUGCGCAAGAUUGCUUGUUUACAAUGCAGCUAGGAUGGUUGAGGCAAAGCAGGACUUUUUGCAAGCUGCUGCAAUGGCAAAACUUGUUGCAUCGGAAACGGCUCUCAAGGUAACAGCAAAAUGCAUAGACUUCAUGGGAGGAGUCGGGUUUACAACAGAUUUUCCCCAGGAGAAAUUUUUCCGAGACUGCAAAAUUGGAACGAUUUAUGAAGGAACGAGUAACAUGCAAUUGUCAACGAUAGCCAAAUGUAUUAGGAAGGAGUACUCGCCGUGAUGUCAAUAAUUCACAGCUCUAACGAAUCUUCCACUCAUUCCAACAAAUCACUUUUAUUCAUUGAAUAUAGUGUGAACUAUUCUUAUUUUAUUCUA